rnacentral:rRNA from 1 species
UACAGAGGGUGCAAGCGUUGUUCGGAAUUAUUGGGCGUAAAGGGCGCGUAGGCGGUGCGGUAAGUCUGCAGUGAAAUCUCUGGGCUCAACUCAGAGUCUGCUGUAGAAACUGCCGUGCUUUGAGUGUGGGAGAGGUGAGUGGAAUUCCCCGGUGUAGCGGUGAAAUGCGUAGAUAUCGGGAGGAACACCUGUGGCGAAAAGCGGCUCACUGGACCACAACUGA